CCUACGGGGGGCUGCAGUGGGGAAUAUUGGACAAUGGGGGGAACCCUGAUCCAGCCAUGCCGCGUGUGUGAAGAAGGCCCUCGGGUUGUAAAGCACUUUCAGUGAGGAAGAACGCCUGGUGGUUAAUACCCAUCAGGAAAGACAUCACUCACAGAAGAAGCACCGGCUAACUCCGUGCCAGCAGCCGCGGUAAUACGGAGGGUGCGAGCGUUAAUCGGAAUUACUGGGCGUAAAGCGCGCGUAGGUGGCUUGAUAAGCCGGUUGUGAAAGCCCCGGGCUCAACCUGGGAACGGCAUCCGGACCUGUCAAGCUAGAGUGCAGGAGAGGAAGGUAGAAUUCCCGGUGUAGCGGUGAAAUGCGUAGAGAUCGGGAGGAAUACCAGUGGCGAAGGCGGCCUUCUGGACUGACACUGACACUGAGGUGCGAAAGCGUGGGUAGCAAACAGGAUUAGAUACCCUUGUAGUC
rnacentral:rRNA from 1 species